GCCGGUCUAGCUCAGUCGGUAGAGCGCAAGGCUCUUAGCCUUGUGGUCCUGGGUUCAAGUCCCAGGGUGGGCG
rnacentral:tRNA from 1 species